GAUGAAGAACGUAGUGAAAUGCGAUACGUAAUGUGAAUUGCAGAAUUCAGUGAAUCAUCGAAUCUUUGAACGCAUAUUGCGCUCUCUGGUAUUCCGGAGAGCAUGCUUGUUUGAGUAUCAGUAAACACCUCAACUCCCUUUUCUUUUUUGAAAUUGGAGCUGGACUUGAGUGAUCCCAACGCUUUCUCCCAAGAAAGUGGCGGGUUGCUUGAAAUGCAGGUGCAGCUGAACUUUUCUCUGAGCUAUAAGCAUAUCUAUUUAGUCUGCCUAAAAAACAGAUUAUUACCUUUGCUGCAGCUAACAUAAAGGAGACUAGUUCUUGUGCUGACUGAUGCAGGAUUCACAGAGACAGCUUCGGCUGACUUUGUAAACUCGAUCUCAAAUCAAGUAAGACUACCCGCUGAACUUAAGCAUAUCAAUAAGCGGAGGA
rnacentral:misc_RNA from 1 species